rnacentral:lncRNA from 1 species
AACCAACGAUUAACAGCAUGUCUGUCAUUCUACUUCCAGGGAAUACGUACCCUACGAUUAUUCAGCGGCAGUUCCAGAUGACCCCGCCAAGGCCACUGUUGUGAUAGGCAAAGAUGUCAACAAUCCACUUGUUAUUGCGGCUCUCUACACUGACUACAAGACUUGUUUUAUCGGCAUAAUUCCUUCCGACGACACAGAACAGUGCAUGCUUUGGGUGGAAGUCGAAUUCCUCGACCCUGUUCCACAACACUGCAAAGAUGCUUUCAAGAAUGCUUGCGGAGCAGGGUAUACGUUCUACAAGAAGGAAGUUUGCAGCUUCUAAACGUUUGAUAAAU